rnacentral:rRNA from 1 species
AGCGAACGUUUGCGGCGGGCUUAACACAUGCAAGUCGAACGGGCUGUUCCUUCGGGGGCAGUCAGUGGCGCACGGGUGCGUAACACGUAGGUAAUCAACCCUCUGGUUGGGGAUAACACUUCGAAAGGAGUGCUAAUACCCGGUAUGGCGCAGCGGUCUUCGGAUCGCGGCGAGAAAGACCCGCAAGGGUUUGCCAGAGGACGAGCCUGCGGCCCAUCAGCUAGUUGGCGAGGUAACGGCUCACCAAGGCGAAGACGGGUAGCUGGUCUGAGAGGAUGAUCAGCCACACUGGAACUGAGACACGGUCCAGACUCCUACGGGAGGCAGCAGUGGGGAAUAUUGCGCAAUGGGCGAAAGCCUGACGCAGCCAGCCGCGUUGAGCGAUGAAGGCCUCGGUGUAAAG